GACGAACGCUGGCGGCGUGCUUAACACAUGCAAGUCGAACGGAAAGGCCCUGCUUUUGUGGGGUGCUCGAGUGGCGAACGGGUGAGUAACACGUGAGUAACCUGCCCUUGACUUUGGGAUAACUUCAGGAAACUGGGGCUAAUACCGGAUAGGAGCUCCUGCUGCAUGGUGGGGGUUGGAAAGUUUCGGCGGUUGGGGAUGGACUCGCGGCUUAUCAGCUUGUUGGUGGGGUAGUGGCUUACCAAGGCUUUGACGGGUAGCCGGCCUGAGAGGGUGACCGGCGACAUUGGGCCUGAGAUACGGACCAGACGCCUACGGGAGGCAGUAGUGGGGAACAUUGCACAAUGGGCGGAAGCCUGAUGCAGCAACGCUGCGUGCGGGAUGACGGCUUUCGGGUUGUAAACCGCUUUCGACUGUGACGAAGCGUGAGUGACGGUAAUGGGUAAAGAAGCACCGGCUAACUACGUG
rnacentral:rRNA from 1 species